AACGAACGCUGGCGGCAGGCUUAACACAUGCAAGUCGAGCGCACCUUCGGGUGAGCGGCGGACGGGUGAGUAACGCGUGGGAAUAUGCCUCUUGGUACGGAAUAGCCUCUGGAAACGGAGAGUAAUACCGUAUGUGCCCUUUGGGGGAAAGAUUUAUCGCCAAGAGAUUAGCCCGCGUUGGAUUAGGUAGUUGGUGGGGUAAUGGCCUACCAAGCCGACGAUCCAUAGCUGGUUUGAGAGGAUGAUCAGCCACACUGGGACUGAGACACGGCCCAGACUCCUACGGGAGGCAGCAGUGGGGAAUCUUAGACAAUGGACGCAAGUCUGAUCUAGCCAUGCCGCGUGUGUGAUGAAGGCCUUAGGGUCGUAAAGCACUUUCGCCUGUGAUGAUAAUGACAGUAGCAGGUAAAAAAACCCCGGUAACUCCGUGCCAGCGCCGCGGU
rnacentral:rRNA from 1 species